rnacentral:rRNA from 1 species
CCCGUCACAUCACGAAAAGUGGGCUGUACUAGAAGUGGCUGAGCUAACUCGCAAGAGGGGCAGGUUACGACGGUAUGGUUCAUGAUUGGGGUG